AUGAGACGUUUCAUUUCCGGCCGCCAUUGUUUACUUCAGAGCUAGCUGUACUUGAAUCUCUGACUCAGGGUUGAGGGGUGUAUUGAGUUCAAGUGGGAUAAAGGUCCUUACGGAAUACUGAACUAUACUACGGCACCGAUUGUCCGUGGGAACUUCAUCGGCGCUGGUCGGGCUUAUUGUUUGCAGUUCGUGACGCCGACUCAUCCUGGAGUAAAACGGGCAAGCUGCUGUUAGAUUCGCAGCUGAGGAUCUCUCAGGAAGGAGCCCCGUUGUCUGGAAACAGACGGUUCCCGUUUGCUGACUGGGGAAAUAUCUGUAUGUCCUCCAGGAACGGAGUUGCUACCGAGGCCACGUUACAGCUCCCUUUUAUUUGCCUUGCAAAAUGCACGCUGCCUUCAUCUACAAUGUAUGUGAAUUUCCAAGCUGUGAAUUUUUUUUCUAAGUCCGCGAUGAUGAUAAGCUGACAUAUAAGCCUGCAGUACAUCUCGAUUUGAAAUGGUAUAGCCAAACUUUGGCAUGGGCUGAGAUAUGCAAACCUGGGAGAGAAGAGAAAGCUUUCUGUUCGUCAGCUGGGAACUCCAUUUUGAGAGAGCCGGUCCUCGAGAUAAACUCGCUGUGCGCACCUUGAUUGCGACAGCAUUUUAAAAACAGUUGAUUCUGUCUUCUUUUUUCCUCGUCUGUACGGUUUAUGUCUGCCACACUAUCAGCUUGUUGUGCAUAUGUAAGAAAAGCUGAUUGAAUUAAGCCCUAGUCUUUAUCAGCGCUGUCUGUUUUCGUCUAAACAUGCAUACAAAUGACCUCGCCAGUCUG